rnacentral:rRNA from 1 species
GCCUACGGGAGGCAGCAGUAGGGAAUUUUCGUCAAUGGGCGCAAGCCUGAACGAGCAAUGCCGCGUGAACGAGGAAGGUCUUCGGAUCGUAAAGUUCUGUUGAAGGGGAAAAAGAGCGGUGAGAGGAAAUGCUUUCUGAUUGAUAUUACCCUUCGAGGAAGUCACGGCUAACUACGUGCCAGCAGCCGCGGUAAUACGUAGGUGGCGAGCGUUAUCCGGAAUGAUUGGGCGUAAAGGGUGCGUAGGCGGCCUGCUAAGUCUGGAGUGAAAGGUACCGGCUCAACCGGUACAGGCUCUGGAAACUG